CCGUAAUACCAGCACACGUCACUUCCGCUCGGACUAGGUACGUCUUCGCCUCGUGGUGGUUCUACUUGUGUGGUUUUGUUUGUCGUCGCUGUGAGUUGAAUAUUCAGUUAGAGUACUAAUCAUUUACAACAGGCGUUGUAAUUAAACACAUUCCACACCUUUUAUAUGUGAUAUUUUCAAGUCUCGGAAUAGAAAUAGCUUUGUGUAGGAGUAAGCCACGUCAAUUUCACAUAAGGAGGCGUUGUGUGUGAUCGGGCUGAUGGCAGGUGACAGGUUCCAUGGAGUUGAUAUAUCGCAAUUGAUACUCCGAAAAUAGUUUUUAAUUGGUUCAUAUUACGUAAUGAAAUCUUGUAGUGAUUAAAUUUUAUUAAUAAUAUGAAAACACUCAUAUAUUAGUAAAUACGUUUGUCACGUGUACUUUUUAAUUUCCAAUACUCCAAAACAAAGUGAAAAAGUUGCAUUUUAAUUUCAUCGUAUUAUGUUUGUACCACUGGGAGAUACGAUAUCAUGGAAUAGUUUUAUAAUACGUCUUUUUUUGCUAUAAAGUAGCGUGUUUGACAAAUGGUCCAUGCGUAUAACUGUCUAGAUCUGGUAUUUAGACUGUAUAAAUCGUCUUCAUGCAUUCUUUCGUUAGCAUGAACAGCAAAUGGGUAGGAUUAUGAAAGAUUGUUCAGGGAAACGACUGGACGUUAGGUUGUAGCAAAUACCCAUAAUUUGCUAAACAACAUCUGAUACAUGAUCGUUAAACGACGUAUUAUCCAUUAAUUACAUUUAAGUAGGUCUACUUUCAUGAAACUACACACACCAUUAUGCCGCAGUGUUACAUAAUUCAAAAUGUGUUAAUUUUGUAAUACAAUAUUAUAGAAGCCUACGCCGUAUUUUUGUGAAGAUUCAGUGAAAUUUUACGUGUUAUUAUGUGACAACAUUUAAAUAUACAAGGCUUCUCCUGUGACCGCUUCGGUUUAUUAGUGUUUGUGACGGAAGUCUGUGGACUCUGCUGACCUUGACAUCGUUCCAGCGUCCGUCGAAGGCAAGAGUUUCGAGCCUGGGAAACUGUGAUGGGAUCGACGCGCAAGCCUUUCCAUUCGGAGUCUCAACUAGCUUCGAUCGUCAGUCGCUGUGUGGAGACUACAUGCAGUAGAAGUUCCACAACUUGAGGAGGAAUUACAACUAAUAAUUCGAAGCCUACUCGAAGACAAACCACUGUUCCAGAUUUUAUCUACAGAAGCCUACGAAAUCUAUGCAGAUCUGUUCUUCAAAGGGCAUUCGCGCUACAGGAGGCACUGUGUACAGUAGAAGUUCCAGUCGUAUUUCGGUUGAGUUAUCGGUUAUUCGUACUCAUUUUCGUGGUUUUCGUCAUUUCCUGCAGGAAAGUAUUUGGUAUUGUCUUAUACGCCGACACAGCUUUCUUCCACGUAUUUCUAAAUUUAUCAUCCAGAACC